UACGAAGGGGGCGAGCGUUGUUCGGAAUUACUGGGCGUAAAGGGCGCGCAGGCGGCUCUGAAAGUCAGAUGUGAAAGCCCCGGGCUUAACCUGGGAAUUGCAUUUGAUACUCUGGAGCUUGAGUGUGGGAGAGGAGAGUGGAAUUCCUGGUGUAGCGGUGAAAUGCGUAGAUAUCAGGAGGAACACCUGUGGCGAAAGCGGCUCACUGGACCAUAACUGACGCUGAUGCACGAAAGCUAGGGGAGCAAACAGG
rnacentral:rRNA from 1 species